UUUGACGAUUCGCGCCGAAAGAUAUCGGCUGGGAGUGAAAAUGGCGAUAUCAGCGUUGGAGAUCCGCUAUGUCCUACUUAUCAUCAAUCAAAUCCCUCAAAUGAAAAGUGACCUCGCCAUUAUUGCUCAAAAGACUGGAAGGAGUCCUGUGGAGGAUCUAGAUGUCUCCUUCUCGACUUUCGGAGAAGUGCAACCGGUGAGU